GUUAUUAAAUAUUGGCUGUAUUCUCAACAUCAGUGACCCGCGCCACAGCCGUGGCAAAGCCUUAUCCUUAACCCACUACCCUGAGUCAAGAAUCGAACUGGUGCCUCCAAACGUGACCAUUAACCCACAGGACCACAGCAGGAACUCCUAUGUGUGUCCUAUUUGUUGAUAGCCAUUCUGACAAGUGUGAGGCAAUACCUCAUUGUGGUUUUGAUUUGCAUGUCCCUGAUGAUUAGCAGUGUGCAUCUUUUUUUUUUUUUUUGGCUUUUUGGCUUUUCUAGGGCCGCUCCCGCGGCAUGUGGAGGUUCCCAGGCUAGGGGUCUAAUUGGAGCUGUAGCCGCCGGCCUACGCCAGAGCCACAGCAACUCAGGAUCCGAGCCAUAUCUGCAACCUACACCAGAGCUCACGGCAAUGCCGGAUCCUUAACCCAGUGAGCAAGGCCAGGGAUCAAACCCGCAACCUCAUGGUUCCUAGUCGGAUUCGUUAACCACUGCACCACGACGGGAACUCCAGUGUUGUGCAUCUUAUUGGCCAUCUGCAUUUCCUCUUUGGAAAAAAUGUCUAUUCAGUUCUUCCACCCAUUUUUAAAUUAGACUGUGUACUUUUUUUGAUGUUGAGUUGCAUGUGGUAUUUAUAUAUGUUGGAUAUUAACCCCUCAUCCGUCGUAUUAUUUGCAAAUAUGCACUAUUUCCCAUUUAUUAGGUUGUCUUUUCAUUUUGUCCAUGGUUUCUGUUGCUAUACAAAAGCUUUUAUGUUUAAUUAGGUCCAAUUUGUUUAUUUAUUGCUUUUAUUUCCUUUGCUUUAGGAGACAGAUCCAAGAAAGUAUUGCUGUGAUUUAUGUCAAAGAAUGUUCUCCCUAUGUUUUUCUUUAGUAGUUUGUGGUUUCCAGUCUUACAUUUAGGUCUUUAAUCCAUUUUGAGUUUAUUUUUGUUUAUGAUGUUAGAAAAUGUUCUAAUUCCUUCCCUCCUUCCCUCCUUCCUUCCAUCCAUCCUUCCCUCCUUCCUUUCUUUGUCUUUUUUAGGGCUGCACCUUCAGCAUAUGGAGGUUCAUAGGCUAGGGGUUAAAUUGGAGCUAUAGCUGCUGGCCUACACCACAGCCACAGCAAUUCCAGAUCCUAGCACAUCUGCAACUUACACCACAGCUCAAGGCAACACUUGAUCCUAACCCACUGAGCCAGGCCAGGGAUUGAACCUGCAUCUUCAUGGGUACUGGUCAGAUUGUUUCUGUUGAGCCAUGAUGGGAACUCCUCUUUGUUUUUGUUUUGUUUUGUUUUUUCUUUUUAGGGCCACACCUGUGGCAUAUGGAAGUUCCUGGGCUAGGGAUUGAAUUGGAGCUGCAGCUGCUGGCCUACAACACAGCCACAGCAACAAUGGAUGCAAGCCACAUCUGCAACCUACACCACAGCUUAUCCUUAACCCACUGAGCAAAGUCAGGGAUCAAACCUGCAUCUUCAUGGAUACUAGUUGGGUUCUUAACCCAGUGAGCCACAACAGGAACUCCUAAUUUUUUUCUUUUACAUGUAGCUGUCUAAUUUCUUUCAUUUACAUGUAGCUGUUUUCCCAGCACCACUUAUUGAAGAUACUGUCUUUUCUCUAUUGUGUAUUUUGCCUCCUUUAUCAUAGUAAGUGCAUGGGUUUAUAUCUGAGCUGGGUAUUCUGUUCCAUUGAUCUAUGUGUCUGUUUUUAUGUCAGUGUCAUACUUUUUCAAUUACUAUAUCUUUGUAGUAUAAGCUGAAGUCAGGGAGCAUGAUUCUUCCAGCUCUGUUCUUUCUUAAGUUUAUUUGGCUAUUCAGGUCUUUUGUGCUUCCAUACAAAUUUUUUAAUUAUUUGUUCUAGUUCUGUGAAAAAUGCCAUUGAUAUUUUGAUAGGGAUUGCAUGGAAUCUACAGAUUGCCUUGGGUGGUAUGUUCAUUUAACUGCAUUAAUUCUUCCAAUCCAUGAACAUGGUAUAUCUUUCCAUCUUUUUGUGUCAUCUUCAAGUUCUUUCAUCAGUGUCUUCUAUUUUCCCAAGUACAAGUCUUUUCCUUCCUUAAAUAAGUUUAUUCUUAGGUAUUUUAUAUUUCUUGAUGCAACUGUAAAAUUGGGAUUAUUUUCUUAAUUUACUUUUCUGAUAGUUCAUUGUUAGUGUAUCAAAAUGCAACAGAUUCCUGUAUGUUAAUUUUAUAUCAUGCCACUUUAUAAAUUCAUCAAUGAACUCUAGUGGUUUUCUGGUAGUGUCUUUAGUAUUUUCUGUGUAUACUAUCAUGUUGUCUGCAAACAGUGACAAUUUGGUAUCCUUUUGUCUUCAGAGAUUAGGCUCCUUCCUUUACUCUUGCUUGAAAGUCUUUUGACCUGUUUUGGAGGAGAAAGGGAAGUGAGGGAAAGUCAGAGUGAACUUCCUGCUUCUGCUGUUUCCUCAGUCUCCUUCAGCUUAAAAUAUUCACUGUGCCAAAGUGCUAUCUUUUGAGGUAGCAUGUCCUGAACCCCAUUACUUCCCGUGCUGGUUGAGGUGAGGUGGAUGCACUCUUUCUCUCCCAGUGUGUGGAUGGGAGGUGUGGGGGUGGCACAGCUCAGUGCACUGACAUCCUUCUCUAAGAAAACCCUCACUACUAGCCACUUCCAUGCCAGUGAACCCCCAGCCUCUUUGGGAAUACUUGGAAGGGAGUUAUGGGCAGAAGACAGUUUCACCGUCUCUUAGAAAGUGUCGUCUUGAUGCUUAUAUUUGUUUUCCAUGGUAGUGUACCAAAUUACUCAAAGUCUUAGUGCUUAAAACAUUUAUUAUCUCACAGUUUCUGUGUGUUAUGGAUUGAACUGUGUCCCUCCAAAAGUCAUUGUUGAAACUCCAGUAUUUUUAGAAUGUGACUGGAGCCUUUAAAGAGGUUAUUACUGUUAAAUGAGAUCAUGAAGCCAGGCCCUAACCCAGUAUGACUGGUGUAUAAGCAGAAGAGAGGCACCAGGGACUGGUGUGCACAGAGGAAAGCCACAUGAAGACACAGGGAGUAGGUGGCCAUAUCAAAGCCCUGGAGUGAGGUUUCCAGAGAAACCAAACCUGCCAAUACCUUUACCUUGGACUUUCAGCCUCCAGAACUCUGAGAAAAUAAAUGUCUGUUGUUUAAGCCACCCAGUCUGUGGUACUUUGUUAUGGCAGCCCUAGCAAAUAAAUACAUUGUGAGUCAGCAAAGCAGGUCAAGCACAGCUUAGUUGGGUGCCUUGGGCUCAGGCUUUCUCCCAAGGCUAUAACCAAGAAGUCUUCUGGGGCUCCCAUCAUAUCAAAGCUCAGGUGAGGAAGAUCUGCUUCCGAGCUCACUCUCAUGGCUAUAGGCUGGCCUCAGGUCCUCACUGACUCUUGGCUGGAGAGAACAGUUCUUUGCCGUGUGGGCCCCUCCAUAGAGCAGUUCACAACAUGACAGCUGGUUUCCCCCAGAGUGAGAGAGGGAGCCCAACAGAAGCUGCAGUCUUUUAUAACCUAAUCAUGUGGCAUCCAUCUCUUUUGCAGUCCUCUCUUUGUUAGCAGUAAGGUACUAGGUUCACUCUACCCUCAAGGGGAGGGGAUUACAAGAGGGAAUUAUGUAACUGUAACCUAAGCCACAGCUGGGGCAACACCGGAUCCUUAACUCAUUGUGCAUCCCAGCACUACCAAGAUGUAUGGCAUUGUUUUUUAUCUUGGUCUUCCACCAAAAUGGAGACAACAGGAAAGGACGAUGGAACAUCUGUUAUGCCAGUGACAAGGGAAAAGGUCUAUCUCCUGGUGGUAGGAAGAUAAGGAAAUGCCUAAAUGGUUCCAUUUUCUAGUGAAGUAUGAAGUGUGGUCAUUAGCUAUAAUGGACUGUGGAGGGUACAACAAAGAUGGCUACUUGUACAGCAAAGACUCCUGCUCCCUCAUGUUCCCCUUUCAUGUUAUACAGCUGCCCAGCCAGGAAGUGCAUCUCUUGACUCCCCUACUUCCAGGUGGGACCAUAUGACUAGUUUGUGCCAGUUGACUAUUAGAAGCAAUUAGCGGUAUUCCCUGGCUAAAGAGGUUAAGAAGCAGGUAUACCUUUCCUCAUUUUCUCUUUCUUGCACACAAGCUGUUGGGUGGGUACUGAGAACUCCAGAGCUCUAGGAGGAAGGAGUCCCGAGAUAAAAGGCACCUGGAUUCCUAAAAGCCACCUGCCAACCAAGAAUACCUGCCCUGGACUUUUGUAUAGAGCAAGAAACAAACGUAUUUUUCAAGCCAUUGAAAAUUUGGAGUGUGACUGUUGCAGCAGGUAGCAUGACCCUAACUAAUCCAGGUGGCCAGGUUUGAGAAGUAGUAUGAAACGCUUGUCUCAGUGAGUGGGCAUAGAGGGAGCCAAUGCUCCCAGUGGUGCAGCCUCGCUGGCCUGGGGCAAACAACUUGGAUGUAGCCAGACAAGGGCCAAAGAGGGGCAGAGCCAUACAAUAGUGGCUGCAGGUCAAAGGACCUGACUCCUGUGUGCCCCAGGACCCUUGUACAUAUGGUAAAAAAAUAUAUAUAUAUUAAACAGAAACCUCAAUUAAAUAGAGUUGAGCGGCCAGAAGGGGGAGCUCUUACACUCUGGAGCAAUAGCAAAGUCCAGUGGGAAGAAAGACUCCUCUUGAUUCCUGGCAAGGUCUCAUCCAAUGAAAAGCCAUGGACUUUAUUUACCACAGCCUUCCCAACUUCCUUUUUCCCUGUACAAAAUCCUUCUCUUUCCCUUUCCGUGCAAAGACUUGGACUUGGCUCACCAUGGUUGCAGACCCUGAAUUGCAGUUCUCUUCUGAUCCCAAAUAAAUGCAGCAUUGCUGGAGAAAUAUCUAGCAGUCUAUUUGUUUUAGGUUGAGAAAUCCUAAAAGGAGGGUAUCCUGAAAAAUGAGUGAAGUUGGACCCCCCACCACAUGAUCCCUGAAGGAGGAUGAAAUGGCUGUGACUUGUACUCCAUAAAUAUGGGUGUGCCAGAAACAUCACACAUUUUUACUUUACUUAAAUCAAAUUUAGUCUCCAAGCCUCCAUCCUGCCAAGCGUGUGGAAGGUCAGUUCCAGGCACGGCUGGUGCUCUGCCCUCUCCCUGGUACAGCAUUGUAUCCUGGAGGCCAACAUGGUGUUUGCAAGCAAGGGAAAGCCUGACAUCUUUGAUUCGGAAUGAUCAGCGCUGCUAUCCUUAAGGGAGCACAGGGUCCUCUGCAGUCCUGUUAAGUCCUCUAGGCAUUUCUAAAAAUAGGGUCAGGUCCACUCUCUACUCAGGAAGCCGCUGACCUCAGGAACCUCCCUCUACAUCUUUCUGCCACCCAGGAUCCUAUCUUUCUUCCCUGACAUCUUUCCCCCAAACAACUCAUGCUUCUGAAAAAAAAAAAAAAAAAAA
rnacentral:lncRNA from 1 species